rnacentral:rRNA from 1 species
UCCGGUUGAUCCUGCCGGAGGCUACCGCUAUUGGAGUUCGAUUAAGCCAUGCGAGUCGAGAGUCUUAGGGACUCGGCGUACCGCUCAGUAACACGUGGGUAACCUGCCCUAUGCUGGGGAAUAACCUCGGGAAACUGAGAAUAAUGCCCCAUAGUCCACUACGCCUGGAACGGUGAGUGGAUCAAAGCUCCGGCGGCAUAGGAUGGGCCUGCGCCGUAUCAGGUUGUAGGGGGUGUAAAGUACCCUCUAGCCAUCAACGCGUACGGGUGUUGGGAGACAUUGCCCGGAGAUGGAUUCUGAGACACGAAUCCAGACCCUACGGGGUGCAGCAGGCGCGAAAACUUGGCAAUGCGAGCAAUCGUGACCAGGGAACUCCAAGUGCUUGGGGUAAGACCCAAGCUUUUCUUGACUCUUCAAAGGUCUUGGAAUAAGGGGUGGGUAAGGACGGUGCCAGCCGCCGCGGUAAUACCGGCGCCUCAAGUGGUAGUCGCUUUUAUUGGGCCUAAAACGUCCGUAGCCGGUCUGGUGCAUUCGUGGGUAAAUCAACCCGCUCAACGGGUUGAAUUCUGCGAGCACGGCCAGACUUGGGACCGGGAGAGGUGUGGGGUACUCUCAGGGUAGGGGUAAAAUCCUGUCAUCCUGAGAGGACCACCUGUUGCGAAGGCGCCACACUAGAACGGAUCCGACGGUCAGGGACGAAACCUAGGGGCACGAACCGGAUUAGAUACCCGGGUAGUCCUAGGUGUAAACGCUGUGGACUUGAUGUUGGGGGCGCUCCGAGCGCUUUCAGUGUCGAAGCGAAGGUGAUAAGUCCACUGCCUGGGGAGUACGGUCGCAAGGCUGAAACUUAAAGGAAUUGGCGGGGGAGCACUGCAACCUGAGGAUUGUGCGGUUUAAUUGGAUUCAACGCCGGAAAACUCACCAUGGCCGACGGACAAAUGAAAGCCAGUGUAACGAGCUUGCUGGAUUGUUCGAGAGGUAUUGCAUGGCCGUCGUCAGUUCGUACCGCAAGGCGUUCUGUUAAGUCAGAUAACGAACGAGACCCUCAUCCCUAUUUGCCAGCUGCGUCUCCGGACGUAGCGCACUAUAGGGAGACCGCUGUCGAUAAGGCA